AACUUACAAGCCGUGCGCGAGGUUAACAAACGAUUGUGCAAACUAUGCAAGAUAUUACAACAGCGCAAGAGUUAUUUUUUUUUUAAUUUUCUAGAUGUGCAAACUUUUAUCUGAUUAUUUUUUGUAUCUUUCAUUAUUUCCAAGAAAAAUUCGUAAAUUAAUAUUUUUCAAAUAAUUUCUUUCAAUGUGAAGCAGUGACUUAACAAUAAUGAAACUCAGGACAUAUGUGGUGCAUGCUAAUAUUGCAUUUAAAAAAUUUGUUUGGAUCAGUUGAAAAAAAAAAUAAUUCCGAUUUCAAGCGAAAAAAAGAAAAUCUGGAACACCUGUGAUCGUUCAGAAAAUACUGCAUGAUGAAAAAAGUCCUCUUCAUUUUCCAGAAGUCGCAGGAGAGUCGGCAAGUGAGGGCCUAUGUUUGAGUCCAAGUACAAGCAAUGUAUAUUCACUCGACAAUGAAAAUGAAUACUUCAAAUGUUUACCAGAGAUUGUUUCCUUCUGUACUGAUAAACCCUUCCUUGCUCCUUUUAAGUGGGCAAAGAUUGUUCCCACUGGAUUUCAAAACAACCCCACAAAUACGAGCAUGAAACAUCUGGAACUGCUACGGAAUUGAGGAGACCACUUGUUUUCUGUUAAAUGUACAGGUUUUGGUGAUGCCUUCAAGAUGGCCAUUGAAACAGUUCUAAAAUUUCCGGAGGCCUUUAAGCAUAUGACAUGGAAGGGAAACGAAGAUGGUUCGGUUUACUCUAAUGUAUUGAAUUCAUUUAGAUUUCGUAUUUAUGAACGGCUGAGGUAUCUAAAAUAGCAGGAGAAUAAAAACACAAAAGUAUCACGACUGAUAUCGAAGAAGAAAACCCAAAAAGCACACUUAUGGUUACAAGGUACGCAAAGGGUCAGGACGUCUGUAGAUGCAAUAAUUAAAGCAGAGUUUUCUUGAUACCUAUGCGAUAUAAUUUUAGGUGGGAAUACUUGACGCAUUCUGCCCCAUAUACCACGUUUGAAAACAUACUGGACAAAAUCAUUAAUUUUUUCAUUGUCUAUAACCAUCUUAGAAACGGGGUACAAAGUUUCCGCAUCGUCCAAAAAUUCUCCAAAGAUGAUCAAUAGAAUAAGCAUAAAAGAUCAAAAAUUACUUGACAAGCUAUUGCACUUAAUCAUUUUUCUCAGAACAAUGAGACAUUCUCUGCAUCUGCUCAUUGUUGCCGGAUUAAGCUCAAAGCGGCCAGAACUCAGAUUUUGACCAUCCACGGAUAAACAGAUGACCAGUCCCAAAGGGUCAAUAUUUGCACGUCAAUUAUGCGCGUGAAAAUUAAAAGGCUGAGAGCAUUUUCAUAGUGAGUGAAUAAGUUUAAGUUGCUUUCCGAUGUUUCGAACAGGCGAGGAAUUUUCAGCUUCAAAUUUGAUAGUUCCAAGAGAUUAAGAAAAAAGGCAUCACUCGACAUUUAUCUAUCAACUUCUUGUCAUCUUACCGUGUCUAACUAAAAUCGUGCCUGAGAUUUCACCAUUUAUUGAUGAUAAAGAAAGUAACGAUAUGUGUGAUAUUGAUUUCUGAAUUUACUCCUGUGUUUGAAAUCUUACAAUUCAGUGCAGUGGCCCCAUAUCCUAAGUUUCUCGAGCUCCAAAAAAUAUAUAGUAAAUGGUCAACUAUGCAUUGCUAU